CACGUAGGGCGCAAGCGUUGUCCGGAAUUAUUGGGCGUAAAGAGCUCGUAGGCGGUCUGUUGCGUCCGCUGUGAAAACUCGGGGCUUAACCCCGAGCCUGCAGUGGAUACGGGCAGACUAGAGGUAGGUAGGGGAGAAUGGAAUUCCCGGUGUAGCGGUGAAAUGUGCAGAUAUCGGGAGGAACACCAGUAGCGAAGGCGGCCCUCUGGGCCGGUACUGACGCUGAGGAGCGAAAGCGUGGGGAGCGAACAGG
rnacentral:rRNA from 1 species